CGGGACGGGUGAGUAACGCGUGGAUAACCUGCCUCACACUGGGGGAUAACAGUUAGAAAUGGCUGCUAAUACCGCAUAAGCGCACAGUACCGCAUGGUACGGUGUGAAAAACCCAGGUGGUGUGAGAUGGAUCCGCGUCUGAUUAGCCAGUUGGCGGGUAACGCCCACCAAAGCGACGAUCAGUAGCCGACCUGAGAGGGUGACCGGCCACAUUGGGACUGAGACACGGCCCAA
rnacentral:rRNA from 1 species